UCGAGCGGCGAACGGGUGAGUAACACGUGAUAAUCUGCCCCAUGCUUCGGGAUAGCCACUCGAAAGGGUGAUUAAUACCGGAUAUGACAUGCCUUGGAUCAGGGUGUGUGGAAAGUUUUUUCGGCGUGGGAUGUGCUCGCGGCCUAUCAGCUUGUUGGUGGGGUAAUGGCCUACCAAGGCUUCGACGGGUAGCCGGCCUGAGAGGGUGACCGGCCACACUGGGACUGAGACACGGCCCAGACUCAUACGGGAGGCAGCAGUGGGGAAUAUUGGACAAUGGGCGGAAGUGAUCCAGCAACCCGCGUGAGGGAUGACGGCCUUCGGGUUGUAAACCUCUUUCAGCACAGACGAAGCGCAAGUGACGGUAUGUGCAGAAGAAGGACCGGCCAACUACGUGCCAGCAGCCGCGGUAAUACGUAGGGUCCGAGCGUUGUCCGGAAUUAUUGGGCGUAAAGGGCUCGUAGGCGGUUUGUCGCGUCGGGAGUGAAAACUCAGGGCUUAACUCUGAGCUUGCUUCCGAUACGGGCAGACUUGAGGCAUGCAGGGGAGAACGGAAUUCCUGGUGUAGCGGUGAAAUGCGCAGAUAUCAGGAGGAACACCGGUGGCGAAGGGGUUCUCUGGGCAUGUUCUGACGCUGAGGAGCGAAAGUGUGGGGAGCGAACAGGAUUAGAUACCCUGGUAGUCCACACCGUAAACGUUGGGCGCUAGGUGUGGGAUCCAUUCCACGGGUUCCGUGCCG
rnacentral:rRNA from 1 species